rnacentral:rRNA from 1 species
GAUGAACGCUGGCGGCGUGCUUAAUACAUGCAAGUCGAACGAGAAACUUUUGUCUUCGGAUAGAGGUUUUCUAGUGGCGAACGGGUGAGUAACGCGUUGGUGACCUGCCCCGAAGUGGAGGAUAACAGUUCGAAAGGACUGCUAAUACCGCAUAAUAUCUUGGUAGUUAGAGAGCCGAGAUGAAAAAGGAGAAAUCCGCUUUGGGAGGGACCUGCGUCCCAUCAGCUAGUUGGUAGGGUAAAGGCCUACCAAGGCGAAGACGGGUAGGGGGCCUGAGAGGGUCGACCCCCCACACUGGCACUGAAACACGGGCCAGACACCUACGGGUGGCAG